AGGGGAGAAACAUAAUAGGUAAUGUGGUUGGUUUGAAACCAGUUAAAGGGGGUUCGAGUCCACCCUCCCUUG
rnacentral:tRNA from 1 species